UGUUCCUCACCCUUCUUCCUCCAAACCCUUGGCCCUUGAUUCCCGAAUGAAAGGCACACUUUACUUUCAUCGGAAAAGAGGACCUUGGACCACUGGCCAACAGUCCAGUCCUUCUUCUCCUUGGCCCAGUUGAGACGCUUCCUACGUUGGCUCAGGCUCAGAAGCGGUUUGACCCGAGGAACCCGACAGUUGUAGCCCAUCUCCCGGAUUAGUGUGUGACACUCAGUUUAAAACAUUCAUGCCCUGUAAAAUUUGGGCUGAUUUCUUCACAGUAUUCUAAUUUUUUGAAAUCCUGUUUUUGUGGGUUUUAUGAGCUGGAAGCCCAAAUUAUGUACAAAUAAACAACUAAAUACUUGAAAUCGUUUAAGUUGUGGGCCCUGAAUCUAUAAUCUAUGGAAGUUUAACGUUUUGAAUGGAAUUAUGGAAAUAAAUAAACUUUUCCAUGAUAUUCUAAUUUU